UGUUUAUAUAGGCACCGGCUCUCACCAGGAACUCAAAGCCAUUUAUGGAUCCUGUCUCAUUACCUCCCAUAGGAGCCCUGAAGGUAGACAAGGGGUAAAGAAGACAUGGACUCAUCAUUCCUUGGGAAAACAAGCCACCUGGAAGGAACAUCCAGGCCUCUGUUAAAACAGACUUAUCCAACAUUCAUGAUGGUCAUGAAUCUGAGCUUUGUAGACAACUUUCUUUUCUUUUCUCUCUCUUUCUUUCUUUCUUUCCUUUCUUUCUUUCUACCAGGGGUUGAACUCAAGGGUGCUUAACCACUGAGCCACACCCAGCCCUUUUUUAAUAUUUUAUUUACAGACAGGGUCUCACUAAGUUGCUUAGAGCCUCGCUAAGUUGCUAAGGCUGGCUUUGAACUCACAAUGCUCCUGCCUUAGCUUCCAGAGCUGCUGGGAUUACAGGCAUGUACCAUGGCACUGGCCAUUUUGGUUUGAUAAUCCUAGGGCCAUUUUGUGAAACUUGCAUUCUGCAAUAUGAUGACCUUCACUCAGUAUGAUAAUCCCCAUUGAGUUAAAAAGGCAAAUUAAAACACUAUGAAUUGUGUGGUAUGGAGGGACUCACUCCAAGGUUAGUUUAAGGACCAAGGCUUAAAAAUUUACCUGAAUUGCCAUUGGGACAUAAGCCAUAUCAAGUCCCAGGGGAUUAAACAGAAAUCAGAACAACCUAGAUAUUGUGAUUAAAAUGGUGAUUCAUUAUCAUACAGGCACAGGAGAAAGAUAAAAACCAACAUGCAUAGUAGCAUCUUUGGGAACUCGACAUCAGGCCAAUAGUGUCAAGAAGAUUGAGGGAAAAAGAGGCUAGAGAAUCAGGUGGUGGCCAAACCACACAGGUCCCUGUGGACUCUAACAAGGCUGUGACAGUGCACAGCAAAUAUUUUAAUAUGAAUUCUGGUACCUAUUAUAGGACUCCUAGGGUACUCCUGGGCCUGGCUAUCCCCCCUCAUCAGGCCUUUACUAAUGAUUCUCUUAGCACUUCUUAUAGGUCCCUGUAUUUUCCAUGGUCUCCAAAAUUUCCUGAUGAAUCAGAUAAAGAUCUUCACCAAUCCAACAGUCAACCAGAUGGUCCUGGGUAGCUACACAAGACUCCAAGCUGAAAGACACCCAGAGGAUCACAGAAUGACCACACCCGGAAACUUUAAAAAAAAACAAAAACCUUAAAUCCCAUGACCCCCAUUCCCUGCCUAGAGACCAUCACCCCUUCCCAGCAGGAAGAAGCUACAGAAGACUGACUUUCAGCCUCUGUCAUAAUAAAACAAAAAGGGGAAAAUAAUGGGAUAUUCUGAACAUUAGUGACUCCAUUUUGGUUCUGGAAGUGCCUCUUGGCCCAUGGCUACCAAGAAAAAGAAACCUAAGCCAGGUGUGGUGAGGUACGCCUGUAAUCCCAGAGGUUUGGGAGGCUGAAACAGAAGAAUCGAAAGUUCAAAGCCAGCCUCAGCAAAAAAGGGGUGUUAAGCAACUCAGUGAGACUCUGUCUCUAAAUAAAAUACAAAAUAGGGCUGGGGAUGUGGCUCAGUGGUCCAAUGCCCCUGAGUUCAAUCCCUGGUAACCCCCUCAAAAAAACUUAAAAUACCCUUUUCUUAUAGCUUCCUCACUCCAAGGUCCCUAAAUACAAAAUUCUGUUAUUGCCCAGCCACCUGCAGUCAAGGUCAAUUCUAGCUGUC
rnacentral:lncRNA from 1 species